rnacentral:rRNA from 1 species
UACGGAGGGUGCGAACGUUGCUCGGAAUCAUUGGGCGUAAAGCGCACGUAGGCUGCGAGGAAAGUUGGGUGUGAAAGCCCCGGGCUCAACCUGGGAAUGGCAUUCGAGACUGUGUAGCUAGGAUGCGGAAGAGGGAAGCGGAAUUUCCGGUGUAGCGGUGAAAUGCGUAGAUAUCGGAAGGAACACCAGUGGCGAAAGCGGCUUCCUGGUCCAGCAUCGACGUUCAGGCACGAAAGCGUGGGGAGCAAACAGG